UAAGUACCUACAUAGUUCAUAUUAUAUAGCGGAAUACAUAUAUUUUGAUUUGGCUCGUCCCCGAAGCCCGAAUCGUUAUUCAAUUUUUUGCGGUCAUUGAGCCAGGCUUUUUUUUCGCUGCUACUAGACCUUCUCAUUCAUAAAAGCUAUCACCAUGAGUUACUGGAGGGCCGCUGGAUUGAACUAUGUUAAUUAUUCCAACAUUGCUGCAAAAGUUGUAAGGAGGGUGUUGAAGCCAGAACUCCAAGCUAAUGCAAGCAAACGUGAUGAAACACAUGUAAAAUUCACCCCAUGGGUUAAGGGAAAGCCAUCCAAUGAAAAAGCUUGAACUUAUAUAAAUUAAACGAUUGAAAAGUUGUUAUACAUUUUUAGUAAGUUAUGAGCCUGGCCAAUAGUCGAUUUAACAAAAAUGACACAUUCAAAUUAAGAGUAAAAUUUAUUGUAAUAUGUUGUUUUAGUACAUGUUACAAUAACCCAAUGUAACUUAUUUAAUAAACAAACAUACAUAUUAUUUUA